UGAUUCACAGUUUGAACAAAUAAUCCAAUACCGAGGUCAAAAAUAGAAAUCGUUCUUACAUUUUUCUCCGAUGGAAACAAACAUAAAUCACAAGGCAUUUGAUAGCUAUGGUAUUGGAAGUCAACUUUCCAUGGUUCGAUUACCUUAGGCAAUGAUAUAGAAUGGUGUUCACCGGGGUCAAAGACAAAAUUUUCUCUUGCCAUUUCAAUUUGAU
rnacentral:lncRNA from 1 species